GGGGAAUAUUGCACAAUGGGGGAAACCCUGAUGCAGCGACGCCGCGUGAGUGAAGAAGUAUUUCGGUAUGUAAAGCUCUAUCAGCAGGGAAGAUAAUGACGGUACCUGACAAAGAAGCCCCGGCUAACUACGUGCCAGCAGCCGCGGUAAUACGUAGGGGGCAAGCGUUAUCCGGAUUUACUGGGUGUAAAGGGAGCGUAGGUGGUGUGGUAAGUCAGAUGUGAAAGCCCGAGGCUCAACCACGGGAUUGCAUUUGAAACUAUCAAGCUAGAGUACAGGAGAGGUAAGUGGAAUUCCUAGUGUAGCGGUGAAAUGCGUAGAUAUUAGGAGGAACACCAGUGGCGAAGGCGGCUUACUGGACUGUAACUGACACUGAGGCUCGAAAGCGUGGGUAGCGAAC
rnacentral:rRNA from 1 species